UUCGCCGAAAGGCAAGUGCGCAGUUGGGCGCCGGGCUGUGACGCCGGCAGGCUGCCGGCGCCCCGGCGCGACGGGCUGUGGAAGCGUGGCAGGGACAUGAUGGGGAGGCUGCAACAACCACCUUCAGCAGCUCUCCGACACCAACACCGUUGUCAUGGGUCACCGCAUCAGCUGAGACUCUGCACUAUGUUCCCAUUGGAGCUGUUGACCAUCUUACCAGCCCAGAGAGUAGUAAUGAGAGCCACUGCUGAAGAGCAUCUGGUCAUCAGUAGUCAUUCUGUUGAAGCAGCCAGAUGAGAACGAGACUGCUUCUCAUUCUUCAAGAAACUGUCAAAAACCAAUUCCAAGCAGCAACUUCAAGACUCUUACAAGAUACAGUUUCAUCAAGCCAACUCUGCUAUGAGAUGAAGAAAAGUUUGGCUCUUGGAGCUCCACCAGACCAUAUAAGCCUUCCUCCAUGCCGAAGACGCACUCAAUGCAAGAAAGCUCUGGAAAGACUCCUUGGAUGAUUGCGAACCGGGACGGUCGGUGAGCGGGCCCGCAACCUAAAAGACCUUGUCACUCAGAUCCAUCAUCACCCCAAAUAAAAGCAAGACAACAAAACUACUUCUCAUCUGCACUGUAACGGCAGGAUACUUGAACACUGAAACUUCCACCUCUACAUGUGACCAAGAUACAGGCAUCCUACCAGUACAGGACCAUCAUCAUGUCGCCAAGUCAAAGGGCCCAUGUAUAUCCCCAUGGGUCUUUGAGGUUCCAGGUCAUGUAUUGCACAUACAUGAAAUGGAGCCUCAAAGACCAAUUGGGGGGCCCUUUGAGGACCGGGACCUCGGUCUUCCCUUACUGCAGUAUUGCUAAGCAUAACACGUGUAGCCCUCCUUUUGAAUGAUUCGGCGAUUUGAAACCUUCAGUGACACUUUUUUCGAGGCAGUUGUUCACUCUAUUAAAUUUCCGACUAGACCAUUCCUCUUACUACAACCCCACCAUAAGGGGCGCCUGGUGGUACGCUGACUGUUGUAAGGAGGGUGACAGAUUAGUUUGUGGGCCACAUCGCUUCAUCGGACAGUGAGCCCGAUUUGGUUUCAUCUCACGAAUCUUGCAGACAAUGCAGAAACAAUUUCUCAGUUUUUUUCAACAUUCCGUUUUAUGUAAAUGUAAUUUGAGCAUAGACAUACUGGUGUUUGAAUCUUUCCAAGCCAUACACUGUUCCAAACCAUCUAUUGGAAUAUAUCAGAUGUUCAUAUGACCCUGUUGUAAAAUGGUCAUUCCACGCCAAUUAAAUAAGAUAAAAAAUA